GGUCACCAUCAAAUUCCAAAAGUUUGUUUUGUGACUUGUAACGAGGAGUAAUUUUCACUGUAAGGUAUCUGUACUUUUACUCAAGUAUGGUUUUUAGGUACUCUUUACACCUCUGGUAUGGCUGUGCUCACAAUGUUAGCUGAACGUUUGGGAGCACCGGAUGGCUGGAGAUCUGACCGACAGGUAUCAGGGGAGGUCAUUGUAACACAUCUUCAAGAUAUCCAGUGGUUCUUCUUCGACCCAAGUUGCUCAUGAAUGUCAAUGGCGUGACUGUGGCAAAAGCAGGUGAGACGCAUUGCAUCGUGCUAUAAUAACACUAUUACUUUUCCACCUGCCUCAUUUUAAUCCUCGGAUAUCUGAAUUUAUUUUUUUUUAAAUAAAAGAAGUUUUCCAGCUAGCAAAUAUUUAAUUUCACCCCAACAUAUUCUUUUGAUUCACGAUGAGCUUGACAAACCACUUGGGAAGUUUGGCAUUAAACAUGGUGGGUCACAAUGGCGUAAGAUCAUGUGUAGACCGCCUUCACACUGAUGUGAUGCCACGGCUGCGUGUUGGUAUUGGGCGACCAUUGGAUAAAACACCUGUCGACCAUUAUGUUUUGGGAUGUUUUUCACAAGAGGAACAAAAAUGUUUUAGACACUGUCAUGAAGCAGAGUGUAGAUGUACUAUUGACAUAUAUCACAGACUCUCAACCCCAGACUUCACCAGCAGAGGGAAGAAGCAAAAAUAAAGCCAGGACACUUUCACCGCCUCAGGACACCACAGAAGAGCAGAAACAGAGCUGACCUUCUGUUACUACACAUGAGAUGUUUGAUUACUGUAUUUCUUUUGUGAAGGAGUUGAGUUUUAUGAUGCCAUGUUUAGGUCCCAAGAAGAGGGAAGGACAUUGUCAUGAGGGACAAAACCAAAACUGACAUCAACGCAUAAUAAUGUUUGAUAAUUCUGUACUAAAUGAGUUGAGCUUUGUUAGGUCUGUGCUAUAUUUUAAAGUUUAGUAUAUUGGGAGGCAGCUGCCUGCGUUACAUGCUGUAUUGUAGUAUCUAUAACAGGUUUUCCUAAAUUUGGGUGCAAACUCCUGGAGGAACUGCAGAAGUUUCAUUCAAUUGUAAUAGAAAUGCAAAUGCUUUAAGUAAAAAUGAAUGAAUCAUUAAAAUAUAAUAACCAUAAGAAAAUAAACAACAGAAAUAUUUGGCAAGU